UACGUAGGGGGGCUAGCGUUGUCCGGAUUUAUUGGGCGUAAAGAGCGUGUAGGCGGCCAUUUAGGUCCGGUGUGAAAACUCGAGGCUUAACCUCGAGAUGUCAUCGGAAACCAUUUGGCUAGAGUCCGGAAGAGGAGAGUGGAAUUCCUGGUGUAGCGGUGAAAUGCGCAGAUAUCAGGAAGAACACCAAUGCGAAAGCAGCUCUCUGGGACGGUACUGACGCUGAGACGCGAAAGCGUGGGGAGCGAACAGG
rnacentral:rRNA from 1 species